rnacentral:lncRNA from 1 species
UUCAGUGUAGUGCUGGCAGUGGAGGAGUACGUGUGUGGCGUCCUCUCGUUCCGGGCAUCCGUUCGGGCAAUCUGCGAGUGUUUCCGGUUCCAAUCUGCUGAUGAAGUGAUUUAGUUUGUUGUGGCCGCUGCGUAGUCGGAACAAGGCUGAUUGGAUAGUUCUUUUCUUAUUGGUGUGCCAUGUGGCAUUGCGUCGGUCCUUCCGGAUGUUUGUCGCCAGUUGGUCUGCGAUUUCGUUUCCAACGAUUCCGGCGUGUGAGGGUAUUGCUGGGCUUGACUCCCAUUUGAAGUUGGAUAUUGCUUGAAUGGAAGAUUUUGAAUCAGUGAAGAUGGUGGCUGAGUCCAUCUCGUACUUGUUGAGGUAUGUGGAAUGCACAGCUGGCAGUUUUGUUGUCUCGCACACUGAUCCAUCAGUGUAUACUUCAAGGUGGUUGGUGUUUGGAUUACGAUUGCAAUUGGAGUGGGAUCGUUGUGGCUGCUUUGGUUUUCGCCGUGGAAUAUAUUGCGAUGUCAUCGGCGAAAAGGGAAGUUUCGCAUCCUUCUUCUGGGAUUGGGAAGUCCGCAAGCAUUACGUUGAAUAGGAGGGGGCUGAGCACACUUCCUUGAGGGACUCCUUUGGAAAUUUUUCUUUCUUCGGAUAGGUUGUUGUUUACUCUUGUCCUUAUGCCUCUUCCGGAGUCCUUCUAUCCAUGUGUUGUCGUACGCCUUCGAGAUGUCCAGGAAUAUUGCUGUGGUUGGGUGGCUGCUGUUGAAGCCGGAUUUGAUGGCUGAUUCUAUUCGGAUUAGAUUGUCGGUGGUGGUACAUCCUCUUCGGAAUCCGGUUUGGACUUUCGGCAUGAUGUCAAUGAGACUGGUCUGUACGAUUCCGCUUCUCCGGGUGGAUUGCCUGGUUUGAGGAUGGGUGUGACGAUGGCACAUUUCCAAUCUUUUGGGAUGUAUCCUUCCCUGAACAUCAAGUUGAUUGUUCGAAGAUGGGGCAUGCUGCUGUUCCUGCUUCGUGGUCGUUUCCUUCGCACGUCGGGCACUUUGGUGGGCUGGUGCACUGUUGGUCUUCUUCAUGGGCACAGGCACAGGUUCUACACACUUGAACAACGGGGCUUGAUUCUUCCGGAUGUCCGAAUACCCAACACUUUCGGCACAGGUACGGUCUUGGGAUGAAUUUUUUCACUAAGAACACUUCGUGGGCGAUGAUGACUUCGCGCGGGAGGUGUGUUGUGUCGAAGUAGAGAGUGACCAUUGUAGAGCUGGUCGUAGUGUUGUUGGGUCCUCGUUUGGCGA